UAAUGACAUUUAUCAGUUUCAUCGACCGGGUGACCUAUAGCAGCAAGUUGAUCACAUAUGGUUUUAAAUUUUCGGCCAAACUCAGCAACAGAGGAAGAACCUUUUUGUAACAUGCGCAGAUUUAUUAUCACGUAAGAUAUGCAUACGGUUAGUGGAACAGUGACUAUAUGCUGUUUCCAAGGCAAGCCAGACCUGACGAGCAUUAGAGAUGCCAAUAAUUUCGGACAUGGCUUCCUCGGAGAGAGAGGACUGAAGAAGGAGACAUACCGAUUGAUCCUUGGUUAACCAUUCAGUACGAGCAGGGUUUGGGACAGGUUUAUCGGCCUCAAGAACAGUUUCGGGUGAUAUGGAAGUGGUUCCAUCAACAUGUCAAAUCAACUUUUGAAGAGUGAGAACGAGAGAGACUUGUUGGGACCAUGCUAGGUAGUUU
rnacentral:lncRNA from 1 species